GUGGAGGGGGGGGGACGUGGGGAGGGAGGGAAGGCGAGGGACGAGAAGGGAAACAGUCUGGCUAAUGAAACGUCAUUCACAUCAGGGGACAAGCUCCACCCCCUCCCUCGUGGGUCUCGGGGACUGGCCGUUGGAUGGAGCGUCGUCUACACAGCGCUUCGGCCUCGAAGCCUCUGCAGGAUCCCCGCGCGGACGGCACGGUUUCCUUCGCUCUAGGGCCUCCUUGGAGUCGGUUCUGUGAAACACAAGUGCUCCAAGGCGUCCCAAUCUGCGGCGUCCUUUGAAAUUCUAUCCCGUGUGUGCUGGAGCUGAGCCAAUUAACAGGAAGAGAAUUGGGUGGAUUGCAGAGAAGCUGGCAAGACUGUGUUUACCAAUUAGUUUUUUUUAUGAUGCAAAUGUCGCGCCGCAUGCGGCAGGAAUAAAAGCUAGCUAUGCUGAA